rnacentral:rRNA from 1 species
GACGAACCGUGCGAACGUUGUUCGGAAUCACUGGGCUUAAAGGGCGCGUAGGCGGGCUGACAAGUCUGGGGUGAAAUGCCGCGGCUCAACCGUGGAACUGCCUCAGAUACUGUCGGCCUCGAGGAAGGUAGGGGCAUGCGGAACUGUAGGUGGAGCGGUGAAAUGCGUUGAUAUCUACGGGAACUCCGGUGGCGAAAGCGGCGUGCUGGACCUUUUCUGACGCUGAGGCGCGAAAGCUAGGGGAGCAAACGGG